UCGGGAAUUUUGGGCAAUGGGCGAAAGCCUGACCCAGCAACGCCGCGUGAGGGACGAAGUAUUUCGGUAUGUAAACCUCGAAAGAAUGGGAAGAAUAAAUGACGGUACCAUUUAUAAGCUCCGGCUAACUACGUGCCAGCAGCCGCGGUAAUACGUAGGGAGCAAGCGUUGUUCGGAUUUACUGGGCGUAAAGGGCGCGUAGGCGGCGCGGUAAGUCACUUGUGAAAUCUCUGAGCUUAACUCAGAACGGCCAAGUGAUACUGCUGUGCUAGAGUGCGGAAGAGGCAACCGGAAUUCUUGGUGUAGCGGUGAAAUGCGUAGAUAUCAAGAGGAACACCUGAGGCGAAGGCGGGUUGCUGGGCCGACACUGACGCUGAUGCGCGAAAGCCAGGGGAGCAAACG
rnacentral:rRNA from 1 species